rnacentral:rRNA from 1 species
GACGAACGCGGCGGCGUGCUUAACACAUGCAAGUCGAACGAAGAGCGAUGGAAGCUUGCUUCUAUCAAUCUUAGUGGCGAACGGGUGAGUAACGCGUAAUCAACCUGCCCUUCAGAGGGGGACAACAGUUGGAAACGACUGCUAAUACCGCAUACGGUCUAAUCUCGGCAUCGAGGAUAGAUGAAAGGUGGCCUCUACAUGUAAGCUAUCACUGAAGGAGGGGAUUGCGUCUGAUUAGCUAGUUGGAGGGGUAACGGCCUACCAAGGCGAUGAUCAGUAGCCGGUCUGAGAGGAUGAACGGCCACAUUGGGACUGAGACACGGCCCAGACUCCUACGGGAGGCAGCAGUGGGGAAUCUUCCGCAAUGGACGAAAGUCUGACGGAGCAACGCCGCGUGAGUGAUGACGGCCUUCGGGUUGUAAAGCUCUGUUAAUCGGGACGAAAGGCCUUCUUGCGAAUAGUUAGAAGGAUUGACGGUCCGGAAUAGAAGCC